AUUGAACGCUGGCGGCAUGCCUUACACAUGCAAGUCGAACGGUAACGGGCCUUCGGGUGCCGACGAGUGGCGAACGGGUGAGUAAUGUAUCGGAACGUACCUUUCAGUGGGGGAUAACGUAGCGAAAGUUACGCUAAUACCGCAUAUUCUGUGCGCAGGAGAGCAGGGGAUCGCAAGACCUUGCGCUGAUUGAGCGGCCGAUAUCAGAUUAGCUAGUUGGUGAGGUAAAGGCUCACCAAGGCGACGAUCUGUAGCGGGUCUGAGAGGAUGAUCCGACACACUGGAACUGAGACACGGUCCAGACUCCCACGGGAGGCAGCAGUGGGGAAUUUUGGACAAUGGGGGCAACCCUGAUCCAGCCAUGCCGCGUGAGUGAAGAAGGCCUUCGGGUUGUAAAGCUCUUUCGGCCGGGAAGAAAUCGUAUCAGCUAAUACCUGGUGCGGAUGACGGUACCGGCAUAAGAAGCACCGGCUAACUACGUGCCAGCCGCCGCCGUAAGAC
rnacentral:rRNA from 1 species